CCUACGGGUGGCUGCAGUGGGGAAUCUUGCGCAAUGGACGAAAGUCUGACGCAGCGACGCCGCGUGGGUGAAGAAGGCCUUCGGGUUGUAAAGCCCUGUCGAAAGGGAAAAACGGCAUAUGCAAUAAUACGGCAUAUGCGUGAUGGUACCUUUAGAGGAAGCACCGGCUAACUCCGUGCCAGCAGCCGCGGUAAUACGGAGGGUGCAAGCGUUGUUCGGAAUUAUUGGGCGUAAAGGGCAAGUAGGUGGUCUCGUAAGUCUACUGUGAAAUCCCU
rnacentral:rRNA from 1 species